rnacentral:lncRNA from 1 species
AAUUAUCCCAGAGAUUGAAUAUUAAAAAUAGGCUGAGAGUUGUUUGAACUGUGAUCACCCCCAAAAAUGAGGGGAUAAACAUUCUUCUUGCUAAAUUUUUUUUGGAAAAUCCCUG